GAUGAAGAACGUAGCGAAAUGCGAUAACUAAUGUGAAUUGCAGAAUUCCGUGAAUCAUCGAAUCUUUGAACGCACAUUGCGCCCCCUGGUAUUCCGGGGGGCAUGCCUGUCCGAGCGUCAUUACAACCCUCAAGCCCAGCUUGGUGUUGGGCCCCGCCGCCCCGGCGGGCCCUAAAGUCAGUGGCGGUGCCGUCCGGCUCCGAGCGUAGUAAUUCUUCUCGCUCUGGAGGUCCGGUCGUGUGCUCGCCAGCAACCCCCAAUUUUUUUCAGGUUGACCUCGGAUCAGGUAGGGAUACCCGCUGAACUUAAGCAUAUCAAUAAGCGGAGGA
rnacentral:misc_RNA from 1 species